AAAUGAUUUUUUUAUAAUCCAUUUUUUAUCUUCUAAAAAAACAUUUAUCCUUCAAUGCUUGAGAUAAUUUUUUCCAUAAACCUCUAAAAUAUCCUAUGAUAGACCUUACAUGAUUUCUUAUCUCUAAUAUUGUAGCCAGUUCAAAUAAUUGAACCACCUCCCUUUUUGUAAAACGCUUCAACUCCAUUUCUUUUACAUAACACCUUAAAUACUUUGUAAUGUCUUUUCUUUCAAAUUGAUCAAUCUUAUCUGUAAUUGCUUGUAAUAUUUAUUUUUCCAUAUCUUCUUCGUAAUCUUUAUCAUAUUGCUAUUGCAUGAAUAAGGCAAAAGUCUC
rnacentral:lncRNA from 1 species